rnacentral:rRNA from 1 species
AGCCCGCUCAGAAACUACAAAUGAAGUUGACGGGGGCCCGCACAAGCGGUGGAGCAUGUGGUUUAAUUCGAUGCAACGCGAAGAACCUUACCUGGUCUUGACAUCCCGGAGACCCUUAGGAAACUAGGGGGUGCUUCCAUCUGGAAGAAUCUGGAGACAGGUGCUGCAUGGCUGUCGUCAGCUCGUGUCGUGAGAUGUUGGGUUAAGUCCCGCAACGAGCGCAACCCUUGCCUUUAGUUGCCAGCAGUUCGGCUGGGCACUCUAAAGGGACUGCCGGUGUUAAACCGGAGGAAGGUGGGGAUGACGUCAAGUCCUCAUGGCCUUUAUGACCAGGGCUACACACGUACUACAAUGGCCGAUACAAAGGGCAGCGACACUGCGAGGUGAAGCCAAUCCCGUAAAAUCGGUCUCAGUCCGGAUUGGAGUCUGCAACUCGACUCCAUGAAGUUGGAAUCGCUAGUAAUCGUGGAUCAGCAUGCCACGGUGAAUACGUUCCCGGGCCUU